CCCCAAUCUUCUGCAAUAGCAGUGAGUGCUCUUAACCACUGAGCCAUCUUUCCAACACCUCAAACAAGUCUAAGUAAAGGAAGAAAAGCAUUAGAGCCAGCUGACUGCAGGUCAAUGCCUCUGAAACCAUGGGCUGAAAUGGUUUUCUUUAAACCUAUUCCUCUCAGAUGUUUGUCCAAGGGAUGAAACACCUGGCUUGCACAGCUCUCUAGGGCAGGAAAAACAGAGGAAAACAGAGACAUUUGUAAGGCAUCACUGACCGUUCAUAUGGCCGAAUGAGGCCGAGAGAUUAUGCAUUAAAGAGUGGACUAAGGUGGACAUACAUCUAUACCUCAUUUCUAACUUGAGGUUGGAGAAACUCCACUCCAGUCAGAUCUGAUGCCACUUACUCACCAUCGGUGACAUGGAUUUUCUCUGUUUGAUGUCUUUCAAUUCUGGCCGCUGGUGAUGUUUUCAAUUCCACUCCAUGCUCACCUCUGUGUCUGACCUAACCUCCCUGUGACUCACAGGUACGAAUUGUGGUUUUGAGUUGACACAGGGAGAAGACAGCCUGAACAACAGAAGGAAGAAGCAUCACAAGCCCUCUACGUGCACUACCUGUAGAGGAUACUGUUUCCGUGGCAACUGGUGGCACCUUUUGCCCAUUGUCUCACUUUGCACUAUGGACCCAGUGUCUUACUUUUGACUAUGGAUACAGAUGCUGGGCUAUGGUGUCAGUAUCACCCUGGAAGGGCAAAGUUGCUGCCUCUGCCUCUGCCUCUAGCCUUCUGUCACCUGCAGGAAGUAUUUGCCUUGGUCACUUCUCUGAGCUCCCCAUUUUUUGGGGAGUAUAGGUGUGUGAGAGUCUGCACGGCAACCCCGGGCCAUUCAUCCGCACUCUAGCUACAAGGAAGCCUGCGAAGGUACCAAUCUGGUAGUCUCGGAAUGUGUUUAUUGAGCUCAGCUCUGUUUCCCAUCAGGAUUUGUUAUAUAAGCAAUCUCCUGAACACGUGAAUGAGGCUCGGAUGGCAGGCAGGAGAGAAGGAAGAAAAAGUUAUAAUCUCCCUGCUUUUAUGUCUUCAUCUGAGGAAUCGAGAAGCAUGUAGCUGAGGACCAGAAUGAAAACAGCAGAGCUGCCUGGCUUUCCUUUCUGCCCAUAUGGAGGAUGAGUGAGACAGUUCCACAGGGCAGCGCCACACAGCACCUGACAUUGGUCCCUGCUCUCUGCCUCAUCCCCAAACCAUAUUUCCAUCCAAAUUUCACAUUCAGGAGGGGAGGGAGAGGGAGGAGACAGGAGGAGCUGCAUGGUAAUUCCUGUUUCCUCUGUGUUCUUUCAUCUGUGGAGGUGCAUUUCCAAACUCUUGUAAAUCAAUGGAUGUUUUCAUUACUGCAAUAAAAUCUGCCUUUGUACCGAGCUCCCCGAGGAGCCAGAACAUAAACAGAGCUUCCACAAUUCACACUUCACCAGCUCAGGUGCAGUGCAGUCUUUGUUAAGACUCCGUUUGAUCAUUUUGCUUUUGAUCUGUCUAUGUACUUGGAAAGAGCCAUCCCGGACAGCCAGGGGUCCCUUCUACAGCGAUCCCUCUGAAGAGGCCCUCCCAAGACCCAUACCAGGUGUGAUGCUAAUUUCAUGUGUCAACUUGACAUGGCCAAGGGAUGCCCAGAUAGCUGGUAAGACAUUCUUGCUGGAUGUGCCUCCGAGGCUGUUUGCAGAAGAGCUUUGUGCUUGAAUCAGUGGGUUUGGUAAAGAAGAUUGCUCUCGCCCAGGUAGGUGGGUGUCCUCUAAACCACUGAGGGCACAAAUAGAACAAGAAAGCAGAGGAAAAGCAAAUUCUUGCUCUGCAUGGGGGUGAAAAUCUUCUCCUGCCCUCCAUAGGAAAGCUCCCGGGAGACUGAGAUGCCCAGCCUGCCUGCAACACCACUAUUCAUGUCUUUGAUUUUUGCUAGUUUACAGAAGAGUGGAAUGGGAGUCUAGCAAGGGUGGGAAAUUAUGCGAAUAAUCUCUGGUUGCCAGUAGCCGGUCAACUCAAGCCAAGCUAUUUUCAUUUUUGCAUUAGCAUGAGAGAAAGAAAGAGUCCUGAAGUAAGAAAAAAAUGUACAUUUCAACUUCUGCUGUGGGAACUGUUUGCACAGAGACAAUGAGGUCCCAUCAAAUGUGAGCCAAUUAAAUGAAUCUUAGCUACCUCCGCCUUUUAAACAGGCAAUGUUGCAUGAAUGAAAUUUACUAGCCCUAAAUCUACAGUUGCAAACAGAGAGGUAGGAGAACUGAGCCUAUGCAGGGUCACCUAUCUAUUGUCAGAAUGCUUGGGUAAUUAGAAGGAUUGUCAUUAAACACGCUAGAGGCAGAUUCGUCAUGGGUAAGCAAAAACACUUGUUCUGUAAUCACAGGGAAGCAAUGUGAUGUUUGACUUAGACAAUGAGACGCUAAGACAGACAUAUGCUCUCCCGGUGACUUAAGCAGCUGUCCAGAAGCCUUUGUGUGUGUCUGCUUCCUCUAACCACAUUUAUGUUCAUCCCAAGCAUGGGAGGAAGAGCUCAGAGGCUCUUCCAGUGUAGGUUUGGUCAACUACGCAUCUUUCUCUCAGGUAAUUUUUUUCUUCCAUUCUCUUCUAUUGCUACAAAUAGACACCACGAACAAGGGAACUCUUAUAAAAGAAAACAUUUAAUUGGGGAUGGCUUACAGUUUCAGAUAUUUAGCCCAUUAUCAUCCUGGUGGGGAGCAUGGCGGCACAUAGUCAGCCACUGGAGAAGGAACUAAGAGUUCUACAACCUGAUCCACAGGUAGAAAGACAGAGACUCGGCCUGUCCUGGGCUUUUGAAACUUCAAAGCCCACCCUUAGUGACACACUUCAAAACACUCCCUACCUAUCCUAUCUUGGUGGGUUUAAAGUCUUGUACCCAUUUUAUUUUCUAUCAUAACUUGU